rnacentral:siRNA from 1 species
CGCAGUUAAGCGUGCUUGGGCG